rnacentral:rRNA from 1 species
UACAGAGGGUGCGAGCGUUAAUCGGAAUUACUGGGCGUAAAGCGCACGUAGGCGGCUUGGUAAGUCGGAUGUGAAAGCUCGGAGCUCAACUCCGAAAUGGCAUUGGAAACUACCCUGCUAGAGGAUUGGAGGGGGGACUGGAAUACUUGGUGUAGCAGUGAAAUGCGUAGAUAUCAAGUGGAACACCAGUGGCGAAGGCGAGUCCCUGGACAAUACCUGACACUGAGGCACGAAAGCUAGGGGAGCAAACAGG